rnacentral:lncRNA from 1 species
GAGGCGUGGCUCGUGGCUGAGGGGGCGUGGCCUCAGCGCAGGGCGGGGUUCGGGCGCGGCUCUGCGAGGGCCGUGGCUUCGCGCUGAGGGGGCGUGGCUUCGAACCGAUGGGCGUGGCCUCGAGCCCAGGAAUGCGGCUUGGCGCCAAGGGGCGCGGGCUCGGCACGAGGGGGCGUGGCUUAGCGCGGAUGGGCGUGGCCUCGGUCCGAGCAGCGCGGGUUGGCGCCAAGGGGGCGUGGCGUUACCCGAAGGGGCGUGGCUUUCGUCAGGGGGCGUGGCCUCCAUCCGGGGGCGGGGCUUAGCUCAAAGGGGGCGGGGCUUAGCACCAAGGGGCGGGGCUUCCCGGCCCGCCGGCGCGCCCCCACGUGGCCGCGUCCCCCCCCCCCCCGCCCCCCCGCCCCCCCCUUCCCCCCCCCCCCCCGUCCCCGUCCCCCAGACACGGAGCGGAGCCGGGGGCAAGGCACAGGCCGGGUUUAUGGCACCUGGUGCGGGGUCGCCCCCGCUGCAGCCCCCCCCCCGGCUCCCGGAGAGGCGCCCGCGCUGCCCCGGGGCGGUGGCGGCCCUACAGCAGCCGGCACCGGGAGCUGCCCCGCCGCGGGGCGCUGGGCUCCGGCAGCGAGCCGGCCGUGGCGGUGGUGCUCGGGACCUGCAAGAGUAUGGGGAGGGGUUGGAGGGGGACACGGGGUCAGGGGGGGCUGGAAGGGGGUGCCCCCAGCUCAGCCCCCCACCCCCAGCCCACUCACCGCUUUUCGGGUUGAUUUCUGCAGGAUGUCCCGCGCCAGCGUGCUGAAGGCCUAUGGGGAGAGGGGGGGGUCAGUGGGGGCUGCCCCUGGCACGGGGACCCCCCCGACACCACCCCCACCAUGGGGGGCAGCGGCCCCCCCCCGUGCCUCUCACCUCCUCCACGUUCACGCUGGACUUGGCACUGGUCUCGAAGAAGCGGAUCCCGUGCUCCUUGGCCAGCUGGAGGACGAGGGGACGCCGCGUGGGAAGGGGGGACACGGCCCCACAGCCCUGCCCCACGGCCGGGGGGGCUCGUGCCCCCACCCUACCUUCUCGGCGGCGUCCCGCUGCACUUUGCGCUUGCUCUCCAUGUCGCACUUGUUGCCGAUGAGGAGCCGCUCGACACCAGCAGAUGCAUUCUU